rnacentral:rRNA from 1 species
AAUCAACGCUGGCGGCGCGCUUAACACAUGCAAGUCGCACGAGAAAGGGAGCAAUCCUGAGUAAAGUGGCGUACGGGUGAGUAACACGUGGGAAUCUACCUCUUGGCGGGGAAUAACCCUGGGAAACCGGGGCUAAUACCGCAUAAGCUCGUGAGAGGAAAGCAGCAAUGCGCCGAGAGAGGAGCCCGCGGCCGAUUAGCUAGUUGGUGGGGUAAUGGCUCACCAAGGCGAAGAUCGGUAGCCGGCCUGAGAGGGCACACGGCCACACUGGCACUGAAACACGGGCCAGACUCCUACGGGAGGCAGCAGUGGGGAAUCUUGCACAAUGGGGGAAACCCUGAUGCAGCGACGCCGCGUGAGCGAUGAAGCCCUUCGGGGUGUAAAGCUCUUUCGACAGGAACGAUAAUGACGGUACCUGGAGAAGAAGCUGCGGCUAACUACGUG